rnacentral:rRNA from 1 species
UACGUAGGGUGCAAGCGUUGUCCGGAAUUAUUGGGCGUAAAGAGCUCGUAGGCGGUCUGCUACGUCCGCUGUGAAAACCUAGGGCUUAACCCUGGGCUUGCAGUAGAUACGGGCAGACUAGAGGUAGGUAGGGGAGAAUGGAAUUCCCGGUGUAGCGGUGAAAUGCGCAGAUAUCGGGAGGAACACCGGUGGCGAAGGCGGUUCUCUGGGCCUUACCUGACGCUGAGGAGCGAAAGCGUGGGGAGCAAACAGG